rnacentral:lncRNA from 1 species
CCCCCUGUUGCCCCGUUGUUUCCCGCCCACGCGCAUUUUAAUUAUGUUGCGCCCAUGCCUCUGCUUGGUCUGUUAGAUAGAUUCGUCCCGUAUUCAUUUUUUUAUGUCCUGCUAUUUUUCCAAUUUCGUAGGGAUUUUCCGAACUACAGAUUAUAUGCCUAUUUUAAAAUGCCCAUAACUUUAAACCGUGCGUCACAUCAAAAUAAGUUAGAUAUGUAAAACGCGUAGAAUUUCGUGUAGAUUAACAUUUUGCAACUUGCAUGCAUAUUUAAAACUGUUUGACCUGCUGUUUGCAUAGAAUUGUGUGCUAUUAUAUUAAGGUGAUUUAUUCCGUAGCUAUUUAAGCGUGCGUCCGAAUUGCUCAACCCUAGUA